GACGAACGCUGGCGGCGUGCCUAAUACAUGCAAGUCGAACGCAGUGGGGACGGGUGAGUAACACGUGGGUAACCUCCCAUCAGAGGGGAUAACACUUGGAAACAGGUGCUAAACCGAUACUGAUGGAUGGACCCGCGGUGCAUUAGCUAGUUGGUGAGGUAACGGCGCACCAAGGCCACGAUGCAUAGCCGAGCUGAGAGGAGGAUCGGCAACACUGGGACUGAGACACGGCCCAGACGCCUACGGGAGGCAGAAGUAGGGAAUAUUCGGCAAUGGACGAAAGCCUGACGGAGCAACGCCGCGUGAGUGAAGAAGGGUUUAGGAUCGUAAAGCACUGUUGGUAGAGAAGCGGUAUCUAACCAGAAAGCCACGGCUAACUACGUGCCAGCAGCCGCGGUAAUUC
rnacentral:rRNA from 1 species